AUUGAACGCUGGCGGAAUGCUUUACACAUGCAAGUCGAACGGCAGCACGGGGGCAGCCCUGGUGGCGAGUGGCGAACGGGUGAGUAAUACAUCGGAACGUGCCCGGUCGUGGGGGAUAACGUAGCGAAAGUUACGCUAAUACCGCAUACGAUCUGAGGAUGAAAGCGGGGGACCUUCGGGCCUCGCGCGAUCGUAGCGGCCGAUGUCAGAUUAGGUAGUUGGUGGGGUAAAGGCCUACCAAGCCGACGAUCUGUAGCUGGUCUGAGAGGACGACCAGCCACACUGGGACUGAGACACGGCCCAGACUCCUACGGGAGGCAGCAGUGGGGAAUUUUGGACAAUGGGCGCAAGCCUGAUCCAGCCAUUCCGCGUGCAGGACGAAGGCCUUCGGGUUGUAAACUGCUUUUGUACGGAACGAAAAGGCUCUGGCUAAUACCUGGGGCUCAUGACGGUACCGUAAGAAUAAGCACCGGCUAACUACGUG
rnacentral:rRNA from 1 species